rnacentral:ncRNA from 1 species
UAUGGCAGGGGCAGGCGUGCGUGCCGCCAACUUACCGCUGUUUAUCCAGGCAGGGGUAAAAGAAGUGCACAGUUCGGCAGGUCAGUGGUUACCGUCCCCGAUGCGUUUUCGCCAUCCUGGAUUAUCGAUGUCAACCGGCACUGACGCCGCAGAAUAUUUACGUUACGCCGUGAACGGCGAAGCGGUAGCGAAAAUGAAGAAUACGAUUCUCGCGCGGAGAGAUUAGCCCGUUUUUACUGCACAUCAUGUCGCCCAAUAUGAUGAUUGCCCGUACCAGGCCCCUGCCCAUUAAACAGGGGCCUUUUUU